ACUGAACGCUUGCGGCUGGCCUAACACAUGCAAGUCGAACGAGUGGCGGACGGGUGAGUAAGGUCUGGGAAACUGCCCGAUGGAGGGGGACAACUACGGGAAACGGUAGCUAAUACCGCAUACCAUCGGUUGUGCCCAGACGGGAUUAGCGAGUCGGUGGGGUAACGUCUCACCUGGGCGAAGGUCCCUAGCUGGUCUGAGAGGUUGAGCGUCCACACUGGGACUGGGACACGGUCCAGAUUCUUACGGGAGGCAGGAGUGGGGAAUAUUUGACAAUGGGCGCAAGCCUGAGGCAGCAAUGCCGCGUGUAUGAAGAAGUCCUUCGGGUUGUAAAGUUCUUUCGGCGGGGAGGCGUUACUUGCAGAGGAAGCCCCGGCGAACUCCGUGCCAGCGGCAGCGGUAAUAC
rnacentral:rRNA from 1 species